UCCGACCCACACCAUACCCACUACGCGGCGACGACACCGGCGGCCGGCCCUAGGCGCGGACGGAGUCCGGCAAGCUCCCCGAUCAUCGUUUCAUCACCCACCUCGGGUGCGGGCCUCUGCUCCAGCCGGAGUUCCCCUUCCCGGUCCAAGGAGAGCAACUUCGAGAAGGAGGCGGUGAGGGCGAGCAGGGAGCGGAAGAGAUGGAGAACGGCGGCAGCAAAGGCGACGUCCCGGAGGACGCCAACGCCCAUUGCCCUGGAACGCAGUCGGAGAAGGCGGGGAAGGCCGAUUCCUGCACCGGGUGCCCUAACCAGCAGAUUUGCGCCACCGCCCCCAAGGGCCCCGAUCCUGGUAAUCAGAUCAUCUCCGAGAUUUUCAUGCGCUAUUCUAUUUAU